CCAGAUUUGCAGAAGCACAUAAGUCUGAGAAGAAAAACUCAAGCCACUCACCUCAAAGCAACCCAGGACUAGGGCACUUGCUUUGUGUUCAUGGGAUGCUGAUGGACUGUUGGAAGGGAAAAACAGAAAGUCAGGUGGCAGCGGGGAUACAAUGAACAGGAACAGUCGACACUGCAACACUUUAUUGCAGGUCUCACAAGUGAGUACUAUUGCUCAGCUCUUUUUCUAGGGAAACAUUUGUAGAACCGGAAUCCAUGAUUGUGAGCAGAUGUGUAUUGCAGCAGCACUGUGACUGCUAUGAAGGGUCCCCCUUGAAUCCAGUUAAGCUCAAGUGAAGCUCAUUCAAAACAUACUUGGGGGCAUGGGGAAGGGCAGCAUUAAACAUGAUUUUGCUUUUCUCUAGAUAAUUCUUCAGCCAGAGAUGUCUGCGCACGUGGAAUGCACAAUUGCCAACAAAUCUGUGUGCCUAGCGGCAGAUCCCAUCAUUGUGAGUGCUAUGAAGGCUUUGCCCUGAAUGCAGACAAAAGAACAUGCUCGAGAAUAUCAACAAGUUCUCUUUUUUCUAUGACAAAGGAAGAGGCCUGUAAAUGUAAAUCUUUUGUUACAUUUCACAAGUUGGCCACCUCAUAUCUUAAAACAAUAUCUACAAAAUAUAUCCUUUCUCUGAAAUCUCUUCAUUUGUGGACAUCUUGCUUUGUUUGGUACUUUUUGAACCAAAUUUACUUGUGAGGUCAGCAGUGUUAAGACACCCCACAUAAACAGGAACUCCUAUUUCCUCUUCAAAUGUCUGGGGAUGGCAAACUUGCUGUUUUAAGAUAGAAAUGUGUUCAGUUAGACAAAGUGGGACUGACUUCUGAGUAACAUGUGCAGGAUUUCACUGUACAUCUUUGACUACAGAAUGAAAAUGUGAGAACUGGUGCAGUCCAGUUGCAUUCAGUUCUGUGGUGGCUGUUAUGUGCCAUCAAGUAAUCUGAUUUAAGGUGCCCCUAUGAACAAAUUGCCCUCCAAAAUGACCUGUCCUUGACAGCCCUGCUCAGCUUUUAAAACUCAAGAAUGUAGCUUUCUUUACAGAAUUGAUCCAUCUCAUAGCUGGUCUUCCCUUUCUUCUUCUGCCGUCAGCUUCCCUAGCAUGAUUGUCUUCUCCCGAGUAUGGCUUUCCUGUAAAUUGCAGGACCUUCCUAAAUGGGAUGGACUGUGUCAUGGAAGGAUCGAAAAUUAGGUAGCAAGUGACAGUGCAGGUGAAAAGAAGAGAUGGUCAUCAAGCCUACCUUGCCUAGGGGACCUCAAAAGCCUGGAGAUGGCCCUGUAUUUUGAGUUACUUUAGUAGCGUUAAGGAAUUGCAUUACUAUGAACUGAUAUAUUCCUAUUUAUAGUUUGAAAAAAUGUCAAACUUUCUCUCAUAUCUAAAAGUCUGGGCUCUAAUCUGGCCAGAUGUCACUGGCCGGUCAGUCCCAUGGACCUCAGAAAGAUUUGGCCCACUGAAACUAAGCUUGUUGAGACCACCAAGUGACCGUUUUCCUUAACUGUUGUCCACUAGAUGAUCUGUCUAAGAAAUUAGAAAAAAUCCAGUGAGGUGCAUCCCUUGAACUAAAGUUUAAGUUCAAAAUCUUGUCUUUUGAUGGCACUUUGCAAGCUUUCAUCAGCUUUUCAGAGAGUCGCUCCAUUAUUAAGGAUCAUGCAAGUGUUUAAUGAUGCAACUCAUAUUGUGCAUAUAAUUGUGAUUGAUCAAAGAAAAAUUAUGCUGCAUGCAUAUACAGCUAUAUCUGUAUUUAAUAAUACUCUAAGAUGUAUGUAUUAAUACAUUUCUUCCAUAACUGAAAUUGCAUGCUCUAUUUAACACUAAGUCUGCCUCCUCUUCCUCUUCCACUGCUGCCAUUCCCAUCAUUUAAAGAUCCAGAUAAAGCUUUAAUAUGGAUCAGGAACAAUGGAGUCUGGACAUUUCGGCUGCUUUCAAAUAGAUAGUUCCUAACCAUUGCUUACUAUUACUUGUUCUUCUGUUGCAAGUGUUGCAUAAACUCACAGAAUCCCACCUGCUUUAAUGGAUGAAAUGGUUCCUGAGUUCUAAUGAAUUAAAGUUGCUAGAAGACACAAGCAGUAAAAGCCAAAGAACUGGGACAAAGAAAAUGUGUGUAUGUUCAGCAGUGAAAGCUAAAGGAUUGGGACAAAGAAGGUGUGCAUACAUAUGUACGUGCAAAACUGGCCAGAGAAUAUAAGCAAUAAAAUGUAGUUGAUCAGUGGACUUUGGAAAAGGAAAACCAUGGACAAAGAGAUUUCCAAGAUAAACCUAGAGCCUGAGGCAAAGGUUGCAUAAGUUGCAGCAGGUGAAAUAGCAGGGAAGACCUCUGGGGCAAGUUGAUGAGCUUGAGCAUCGAUAAGAUGAUCCCAGUGCAACAGGUGUGUUGUCCCAUAUCAUGCAAAAGCUUGCGAAAGAAGAGUAUUUGAGACACCCCUAAAUCCAAAGAACUCUAAGGAAUACUAGAACAUCAAAGCAGUCAGUCAUAUUGCAUGUCCUGCUUCAGGAGAUACCAGCUGGCUGGUGGAUGUGGAAUGUUAGAAGUGACUGAAUAGAACUGCAUUCCAGCUAAAUAAAGGUGUUUGAGAAACUGCAUUUGGAUU
rnacentral:lncRNA from 1 species